rnacentral:lncRNA from 1 species
CGUAAGUCUUCUUCAAUUAUCCUUUCAAAUCAUCACUUUACUUGCUUCGAUUACAGCUAGUAUUUAACUCCUAAGCUAAUGCUAUUAGCUUAAAUUGGCUAUUCAGACAUGAUUGAUAUCUUCAUAAUACUUUGAAGAUAUAAUUAAAAUGUUUUGAAGUUUGAAAUGGAUUUAAAAUAUGGAUUGUAGUGAAAAAGAGUAACUAUAUUAUGGAUACUCUUAUACUAAGAGCUAGAUAACAUUUUGCAUCUUUUACUAAAAAAUGGACAAGUUAAACCAUAUAUAUUAGAUUAAAGAGUAAAUUAAAUUUUUUAUUAAAAUUGUUAUUGAUUUAUACUAUUAAAAAUUAGCGUGAAUAAUAGAAUAAUCAAAUAGGGACACUUGAUGUGCCACAUGUACAAAAACUAAUUUUUAACACAAAAUGGAUUGAAUUUUUAACAAAAGAACCAAUUUACUGUUUGAGCGUAGAAAGACUAAUUUACUCAUUUUUUAAAUAAAAAAAAUAAAAUGCAAUUCGAUUUUUAAUAUGGAGGACUCCAUUUACUUUUACCUGAAAAAUACAUUUGGUACAAUUAACCCAAUCAUCAGCAUGUGAUAUGGUUCAAUAAUUUGAUAGCCAAACCAUGUUCUUGGCAGCCGGAACUUUGAAUUCCGAUGAGCCAAGAGACCUUGAUCUGGCGUACAAAGAUCGGUUUUUCCUCCAACCAUUGACUCCGGCACAAGCGGCUCAGAGGGCAAAGGAAUCAGCCAAAGACAUCCUUGGUGUCAAGACCUUGAUCGACAAAAAAGCAUGGCCCUAUGUCAUGAAUGACCUUCGUCUCAAGGCUGAGUACCUCCGCUUUGACCUUAAAACUGUUAUUUCUUCCAAGCCCAAAGAUGAAAAGAAAUCUCUCGAUGAACUCACUAAAAAGCUCUUCAAUACCAUUGAUGGAGUAAGUUUUGAAGUAUACAGAUUAAUUUAUAUUAUUUAACGAAAUAUUAUAACUUACCAUUCUGAUAUGAAUUUUUUUUUUCCGUGUAGCUUGACCAUGCAGCCAAGAUCAAGAGCACCCCUGAAGCAGAAAAGUACUAUGCCGAGACUGCAUCAGCUUUGAAUGAAGUUAUUGCCAAGCUUGGCUAAGGGAAUUGUUGUAUUUUAAUGUAAGCAUUGUUGAUCGUUUGUAGAGAAACUUUCAUUUUUAUGCUAUCCAAAGAGAACCUUUAUCUAUGGUCGAAAUUGAAAUGUCAAAUUGUGAUAUUAAUAAGGUGCGG